rnacentral:rRNA from 1 species
AGACGAACCGUCCAAACGUUAUUCGGAAUCACUGGGCUUAAAGGGUGCGUAGGCGGCGCGGAAAGUUGGGUGUGAAAUACCUCGGCUCAACCGAGGAACUGCGCCCAAAACUUCCGUGCUCGAGGGAGAUAGAGGUGAGCGGAACUUAGGGUGGAGCGGUGAAAUGCGUUGAUAUCCUAAGGAACACCGGUGGCGAAGGCGGCUCACUGGAUCUCUUCUGACGCUGAGGCACGAAAGCUAGGGUAGCGAACGGGAUUAGAAACCCCGGUAGUCC